rnacentral:lncRNA from 13 species
GUUCAGUAACAUUUCUUGAUCUAAAGUACCUGUCACUACUUGUGACACUGCAUUUCAGACUAAAGAUCAGCCUGGAGCCUUGACUCAAAUGGACCUUGAGCCUCCUGAGAGUGGUUCUGUUUCACGCAGCUGCACUUCAUGUCCCAGUCAGGAUGCUCGACACUCAGAAGUCAAAGCAUGGAAAGUGAGGUGUGGCAAAAGGAAAGCAGCUUUUAUUGGUCAAACGCCUACAAAUGAGAGAAUGGCCA